CCUACGGGGGGCAGCAGUUAGGAAUAUUCGUCAAUGGGGGAAACCCUGAACGAGCAAUGCCGCGUGAAGGAUGACGGUCCUAUGGAUUGUAAACUUCUGUUGUUAGGGAAGAACGACCUAAGUAGGAAAUGACUUAGGAGUGACGGUACCUUUCAAGAAAGCUCCGGCUAACUACGUGCCAGCAGCCGCGGUAAUACGUAGGGAGCGAGCGUUAUCCGGAUUUAUUGGGUGUAAAGGGUGCGUAGGCGGCUUCUUAAGUCUGUAGUCUAAGCCCGGAGCUUAACUCCGGUUCGCUACAGAAACUG
rnacentral:rRNA from 1 species